rnacentral:rRNA from 1 species
GAUGAACGCUGGCGGCGUGCCUAAUACAUGCAAGUCGAGCGAAUGGAUUAAGAGCUUGCUCUUAUGAAGUUAGCGGCGGACGGGUGAGUAACACGUGGGUAACCUGCCCAUAAGACUGGGAUAACUCCGGGAACCGGGGCUAAUACCGGAUAACAUUUUGAACCGCAUGGUUCGAAAUUGAAAGGCGGCUUCGGCUGUCACUUAUGGAUGGACCCGCGUCGCAUUAGCUAGUUGGUGAGGUAACGGCUCACCAAGGCAACGAUGCGUAGCCGACCUGGGAGGGUGAUCGGCCACACUGGGACUGAGACACGGCCCAGACUCCGGCGGGAGGCAGCAGUAGGGAAUCUUCCGCAAUGGACGAAAGUCUGACGGAGCAACGCCGCGUGAGUGAUGAAGGCUUUCGGGUCGUAAAACUCUGUUGUUAGGGAAGAACAAGUGCUAGUUGAAUAAGCUGGCACCUUGACGGUACCUAACCAGAAAGCCACGGCUAACUACGUGCCAGCAGCCGCCGCGG